rnacentral:piRNA from 1 species
AGGCUAAUUCAUUAGGCUGCUGCUCUCAA